AACAAAUAUUCACAUUAAUAGCACAUGACGAUAGCUCAUUUUCCACAACUGCUAUGAUAGAGUAAUUAUUUUUUCGAUUGUUCUAUAAUAACACUAAAACAAUGCUAAGAAACCAAAUCACAUAUUCCGCCAACAUUUGCUCGAAAAUAUUGAGUUAAGCGCCAUAACUUAGAAAAUAUUAACUUAAGCGCCACAAUUUUUCCUUUCUUUUACAUUGGUUUGGAGACAAAAAUGAAAAAAAGAAAAAUUUCGACCAAAAGAAAAACAGUUCUUGAGGAAACCAUCUUCUUCUCCCUCCAUCCUCCUCGCAGAUCUACUCCGCCGUUGUUGCUGAACCAUCUCUCCCACCCUCUUCCAUCUUAGCCACCUCAUCCAUCUCCAAUUCCUACGACCCAGCUCACCCAAACCCUAAAUCGAAAUUUUGGUUGAUUUAGGGUUUAUGCCUCAUCUUCCCCGUCUCUCUCUCACCUCAUUGGCUCUCUCAGUGAGGAGCCCGAUUCCAGUUUAGGGUUUAUGCCUCAUCUUCCUCGUUUCUCCCUUUCUCUCUUCGUAGCCAGCCACCACCAUGGAUUCUCGAGCUAUACUCGAUUCCGCUUUGUUUCAACUCACUCCUACUCGCACGAGAGUCGAUCUGGGCUCUUCUGUGAGAGUAAGAAGCAUAAGCUAGCUUCUAGAAUUUCAAACCUUUCGUCUCUCAUCUCCAAUUUGCUAGAGAUCAGAUCUCUAAAGGAGGUUACUCCAUCUCUCUUCAUCCUCCUUCUUUUCACUCUCCUUGGUUCACCAAAUCCACUUUUGAUCGAUUUGUAAACACGCCUGCGAUAAUCGAGAGAUUUGCGAAUCUGGAGAAAGAGAUCUUGUAGAUUGAGCAUUCUAUUCAAGCUAAUGAAAACGCCAAUGCUGCUGCUGAUGCUGAGCAAUUACAAACACAAGAUGGUGAAGCUAAUUCUGGAGUAAGUAGUAAUCUAAGGAAGUCGAACGAGUUAUUCAAGAAGGUAUUUGAGAAUGGCAAUGAGGUUACAGGAGAGGAAACCUCAAACUUCAACGUCUUCUUGAAACACAUAGGACAUUGCUACUGUAGGAUUUCGAUAAGUUUUGGUGGUUGCAGUGAAAGCCGUGCAGUAGAUACAGAGUCACUAUGUGUUCUAGCCGGAAAGGUGGUCUGGUCUGUUUGCAUUGAUGUUCACAUUUUUGACAAUGGAAUUGGCUGCAUUUCUUCUUCAUGUUCAGAGCUAUGGUGCAAGGCAGUGCAAGUGUGGAUCAGAGGACCUUGCUCUGUCCAUGACAUCAACUCUUACUCUCUCUCUCUCUCGGAACAAAUUGUAAAUGGUAACAUUUUUUUCCUUCUUCUUAUCUGAGUCAUUGCUUGACCUACUUAGUAGGAGUUGCUCAUGCUUCAUUUGAGUACAUCAAGUUCAUAAUGUGAGUUGGAAUAUCUUAUUGGAAGUUUUGGUAGUCUUGUGAAGGUUUGGAAUAUAUCUUAUUGCUCUGCUUGUUUUAUCCGUUUCAUUAUGUUUUUGUGUUUAUGUCUUGGUAUAGGUUCCCACAUUGCCUAUAUCUGUUAGUUGUCUAUUUGAACAUGUUGUAACGUUGAAUAAUAAGGUUUGUAGGUUUCCGCUCAUGUAUAGGUAACACUUACAAUUUAUGGUUUAUUUAUCUCUAUGUGAUUGCUAUGUGCUUAUAGGGUUAAUGGCAUAUUGUGGCUUCUCACGAUUCUUUUGUUUCAUAUGAGCAGAUAUAUAUGGAGAGGAUAACUAACAUGUCUUUUUCAUACAUUCAAAGUGAACUAGUAGCUGUUCAAUGGACUAUUUCAAGAAACGCUAAGUGAGCAGCUAAAAGAGAGUCUUUGCUACAACAAGUAAGAAAGGCUGGGUUACAUGUACAUGUCAUGUUAGUUUUAUUGUUAGUUUUAUUUUGUUUAAGACUUGGUGACACUUUGUUAUGUAAGACUUAU